rnacentral:lncRNA from 1 species
UGAUAUUAUGUUUGAACUACAUAAUACAAUUGGUCCGUAGGACUUUAUUCUACUUAGAGUUAUACAAAUUAUAACAUCCAUUAUUACAAUAAAAUAGCUGAUAACAUCAAAUGAGUGAUGCAAAGAUUAUAUGAGAUCUCCAUAUGCGUCUUGGGUGUAUUCCACCAUCAGGUUGUCAAUAUCAAGAAGGUCUUCAUCCUUCUGCCUUGUUUCCUU